AUACUUACCUGGCAGGGGAGACCACGAAGGUGGUUUUCCCAGGGCGAGGCUUAUCCAUUGCACUCUGGAUGUGCUGACCCCUGUAAUUUCCCCAAAUGGGGGAAACUUGACUGCAUAAUUUGUGUUAGUGGGGGACUGGGUUUCCGCUCUUCCCUG